CCUACGGUGAGCUGCAGUGAGGAAUAUUGGUCAAUGGACGAGAGUCUGAACCAGCCAAGUAGCGUGAAGGAUGACUGCCCUAUGGGUUGUAAACUUCUUUUAUAAAGGAAUAAAACGAGGCACGUGUGCCUUUUUGCAUGUACUUUAUGAAUAAGGAUCGGCUAACUCCGUGCCAGCAGCCGCGGUAAUACGGAGGAUCCGAGCGUUAUCCGGAUUUAUUGGGUUUAAAGGGAGCGUAGAUGGGUUGUUAAGUCAGUUGUGAAAGUUUGCGGCUCAACCGUAAAAUUGCAAUUGAUACUGGCAGUCUUGAGGACAGUUGAGGUAGGCGGAAUUCGUGGUGUAGCGGUGAAAUGCUUAGAUAUCACGAAGAACUCCGAUUGCGAAGGCAGCUUACUAAACUGCCACUGACAUUGAUGCUCGAAAGUGUGGGUAUCAAACAGGACUAGAUACCCUUGUAGUC
rnacentral:rRNA from 1 species